rnacentral:rRNA from 1 species
CUGGUAGUCCACGCCGUAAACGAUGAGUGCUAAGUGUUAGAGGGUUUCCGCCCUUUAGUGCUGCAGCAAACGCAUUAAGCACUCCGCCUGGGGAGUACGGUCGCAAGACUGAAACUCAAAGGAAUUGACGGGGGCCCGCACAAGCGGUGGAGCAUGUGGUUUAAUUCGAAGCAACGCGAAGAACCUUACCAGGUCUUGACAUCCUCUGACAACCCUAGAGAUAGGGCUUCCCCUUCGGGGGCAGAGUGACAGGUGGUGCAUGGUUGUCGUCAGCUCGUGUCGUGAGAUGUUGGGUUAAGUCCCGCAACGAGCGCAACCCUUGAUCUUAGUUGCCAGCAUUCAGUUGGGCACUCUAAGGUGACUGCCGGUGACAAACCGGAGGAAGGUGGGGAUGACGUCAAAUCAUCAUGCCCCUUAUGACCUGGGCUACACACGUGCUACAAUGGGCAGAACAAAGGGCAGCGAAGCCGCGAGGCUAAGCCAAUCCCACAAAUCUGUUCUCAGUUCGGAUCGCAGUCUGCAACUCGACUGCGUGAAGCUGGAAUCGCUAGUAAUCGCGGAUCAGCAUGC